AAAGGUAAGCUACUAAGAGCGAAUGGUGGAUGCCUUGACUGGUAAAGGCGAUGAAGGACGUACUAGACUGCGAUAAGCUACGGGGAGCUGUCAAGAAGCUUUGAUCCGUAGAUUUCCGAAUGGGGCAACCCAAUGUAUAGAGAUAUACAUUACCUAUAUAGGAGCGAACGAGGGGAAUUGAAACAUCUUAGUACCCUCAGGAAAAGAAAUCAAUAGAGAUUGCGUCAGUAGCGGCGAGCGAAAGCGCAAGAGGGCAAACCCAGUGCUUGCACUGGGGGUUGUAGGACUGCAAUGUGCAAGAGCUGAGUUUAGCAGAACAUUCUGGAAAGUAUAGCCAUAGAGGGUGAUAGUCCCGUAUGCGAAAAACAAAGCUUAGCUAGCAGUAUCCUGAGUAGGGCGGG
rnacentral:rRNA from 1 species